AGAACGAACGCUGGCGGCAGGCUUAACACAUGCAAGUCGAGCGCCCAGCAAUGGGAGCGGCGGACGGGUGAGUAACACGUGGGAACAUGCCUUUCGGUACGGAACAACUGCGGGAAACUGCAGCUAAUGCCGUAUGCGCCCUUACGGGGAAAGAUUUAUCGCCGAAAGAUUGGCCCGCGUCUGAUUAGCUAGUUGGUGAGGUAACGGCUCACCAAGGCUUCGAUCAGUAGCUGGUUUGAGAGAACGACCAGCCACACUGGGACUGAGACACGGCCCAGACUCCUACGGGAGGCAGCAGUGGGAAUCUUGGACAAUGGGGGAAACCCUGAUCCAGCCAUGCCGCGUGAGUGAUGAAGGCCUUCGGGUUGUAAAACUCUUUUACCAGGGAAGAUAAUGACUGUACCUGGAGAAUAAGCCCGGCUAACUUCGUGCCAGCAGCCGC
rnacentral:rRNA from 1 species